ensembl:lncRNA
GGUGGGGGUAGGACGGGCCUGGAGAGAGCUGGGGAAGAGAGGCAGCUCGCCUCGCUCUUCGGAUCCCCCAUCCUCGCCUCCUGUGAGUCUCGAGACCCUCAGCACAGCCACUUCUCCCCGGCUCUUGGCAGAGAGGACACGCGGCAGGCGUUGCCUUGGCAACGCCGGGAUGCCCAGCAACAAGUCCGUGGCGGGUGCCACGUGCCUGGCGCAGACCAAUCUGAGCUUCGGCCGGGAAGCAGGCUCCAUGCUCCUCCUUUGGAGCUGGGAAGUCAGAGCUGUCCUCCACGUGGGAGGCAGAAUGGAAGAAUUAAGGCAGAGUGUUUCAGCUGCACUCCCACAAGUCACGUAGCUGACAGUGAACUUGGUUUUGGGCAGAUGCCAGACUCUUAUUCUGAAGCCGAGGCCACAACCUAUGAGGUAAUCUUCGGAGUUGCAUUCGAGGCGGAGUCCCA